UCGCCUUUACUUUUUUUCGCUGAACUUCUUGCAUCAUUUUCAAAAAUUAAAAAUAUAGCUGCAAAAUACUUCAGUAUGUUUGGAUCCACUUACGUAUGUGAACAGGCUUUUUCUCAUAUGAAAAAAAUUAAAAAUCCAUACCGUUCACGCUUAACUGAUGACCAUCUCCACCAUGUACUUAGAGCCAGCUCAAGUAAUUUUAAUGUGGAAAUCGAAAAAAUAAUAAACAAUAUUCAACAACAAAAAUCACAUUAAGCCUAUUAAGCAGUUGUAAUUUCCAUACUUUUAUAUUAUAAUUAUAUUAUUAAAAACUGUAAUUUUAUUUUUAUGUUCUAUUAAUCUAUUAUUUUAAAGUUUUAAACAGUUAUUUUUUUUCUUAGUAAAUAAUUUGGAAUACAAAAUUUUUAUUUUUGUCUGGCCCGCGAACUUUUUUUAAUUUAUGAAUGUGGCCCGGGAGUCUAAAAAGGUUGCCGACCACUGUUCUAGAACAUUUAA